rnacentral:rRNA from 1 species
CCGAAUGCCAUGUAGAUGAUGAACGGGAGUCAGACUGCACGAGAUAAGUUGGGCGGUCAAAAGGGAAAGAGCCCAGACCUUCAGUUAAGGUCCCCAAGUGCGCGUUAAGUGGAAAAGGAUGUGGGAUUUCGAAGACAACCAGGAUGUUGGCUCAGAAGCAGCCAUCCAUUCAAAGAGUGCGUAAUAGCUCACUGGUCGAGAGGUCCUGCGCCGAAAAUGUCCGGGGCUGAAACGCGCCACCGAAACUAAGGAACCGAAAGGUUGGUAGAGGAGCAUUGCAUGCGGGAAGAAGCAGUACCGUAAGGAGCUGUGGACUGCAUGGAAGAGAGAAUGCCGGAAUGAGUAGCGAGAAUAAGGUGAGAAUCCUUAUGGCCGAAUAUCCAAGGUUUCCAGGGUAAAGCUGAUCUGCCCUGGGUAAGUCGGGGCCUAAGGCGAGGUCGAAAGACGUAGCCGAUGGACAACAGGUUGAGAUUCCUGUACUAUCAUAUGACAGAACUGUGGGGACGCAGAAAGAGAGCCUGAGCCGGGAAAGGGAAAACCGGUGCAAGCGGGGUAGGGGCCAUGCAGGCAAAUCCGCAUGGCAACCCGAAGACGUGACGCGGAGCGAACAAAAGUAGCGAAGCAGGUGAGCUGGCUGCCAAGAAAAGCCGCUAUCGUUCAUAUGAUACCCGUACCGUAAACCGACACAGGUGGAUGAGGAGAGAAUCCUAAGGCCGGCGGGAGAAGCAUUGUUAAGGAACUCGGCAAAAUGACCCCGUAACUUCGGGAGAAGGGGUGCCUGCGAGAGCAGGCCGCAGAGAAUAGGCUCAAGCAACUGUUUAGCAAAAACACAGGUCUAUGCGAAACCGAAAGGUGAGGUAUAUGGGCUGACGCCUGCCCGGUGCUGGAAGGUUAAGAGGAGAGGUUAGCGCAAGCGAAGCUUUGAAUUUAAGCCCCAGUAAACGGCGGCCGUAACUAUAACGGUCCUAAGGUAGCGAAAUUCCUUGUCGGGUAAGUUCCGACCCGCACGAAAGGCGUAAUGAUUUGAGCGCUGUCUCGACAAUGCAUCCGGUGAAAUUGAAGUACCAGUGAAGAUGCUGGUUACCCGCGCCAGGACGGAAAGACCCCAUGGAGCUUUACUCCAGUUUGAUACUGGGAUUCGGUACUGCAUGUACAGGAUAGGUGGGAGACGAAGAAGGAUGGACGCCAGUCUGUCCGGAGUCGCUGUUGGGAUACCACCCCUGUAGUACUGGGUUUCUAACCAGUUGCCAUGAACUGGCAAUGGGACAAUGUCAGGCGGGGAGUUUGACUGGGGCGGUCGCCUCCGAAAGGGUAUCGGAGGCGCUCAAAGGUUCCCUCAGAAUGGUUGGAAACCAUUUGAAGAGUGCAAAGGCAGAAGGGAGCUUGACUGCGACACCGACGGGUGGAGCAGGU